ensembl:misc_RNA Metazoa_SRP Metazoan signal recognition particle RNA
GCCGGGCAUGGUGGCGGGUGCCUGUAAUCCCAGCUACUUGGGAGGCUGAGACAGGAGAAUUGCUUGAACCCAGGAGACGGAGGUGGCAGUGAGCUGACAUUAUGCCACUGCACUCCAGCCUGGGUGACAGAGUGACACUCGGUCUCAA